rnacentral:rRNA from 1 species
GACGAACGCUGGCGGCGUGCUUAACACAUGCAAGUCGAACGGAAAGGCCCUGCUUUUGUGGGGUGCUCGAGUGGCGAACGGGUGAGUAACACGUGAGUAACCUGCCCUUGACUUUGGGAUAACUUCAGGAAACUGGGGCUAAUACCGGAUAGGAGCUCCUGCUGCAUGGUGGGGGUUGGAAAGUUUCGGCGGUUGGGGAUGGACUCGCGGCUUAUCAGCUUGUUGGUGGGGUAGUGGCUUACCAAGGCUUUGACGGGUAGCCGGCCUGAGAGGGUGACCGGCCACAUUGGGACUGGGUUACGGCCCAGACUCCUACGGGAGGCAGCAGUGGGGAAUAUUGCACAAUGGGCGGAAGCCUGAUGCAGCAACGCCGCGUGCGGGAUGACGGCCUUCGGGUUGUAAACCGCUUUCGCCUGUGACGAAGCGUGAGUGACGGUAAUGGGUAAAGAAGCACCGGCUAACUACGUG